rnacentral:rRNA from 1 species
CCUACGGGAGGCAGCAGUGGGGAAUAUUGCACAAUGGGGGAAACCCUGAUGCAGCGACGCCGCGUGAGUGAAGAAGUAUUUCGGUAUGUAAAGCCCUAUCAGCAGGGAAGAAAAUGACGGUACCUGAUUAAGAAGCCCCGGCUAACUACGUGCCGGCAGCCGCGGGAACACGUAGGGGGCAAGCGUUAUCCGGAUUUACUGGGUGUAAAGGGAGCGUAGGCGGGAGCGCAAGUCUGAAGGGAAAUGCCGGGGCUUAACCCCGGAACUGCUUUGGAAACUGUGCAGCUAGAGUGCAGGAGAGGUAGGUGGAAUUCCUAGAGUAGCGGUGAAAUGCGUAGAUAUGAGGAGGAACACCAGUGGCGAAGGCGGCUUACUGGACUGUAACUGGCGUUGAGGCUCGAGAGCGUGGGGAGCAAACAGGAUUAGAUACCCUAGUAGUC